AGGCUGCGCACAUGAAUAAAGUCCAAUAAAAGGAAAAAAAAAAAAAAAGGGAGAGAAAGUCCAACUGGUAUAUUCUUACAUUCUUAAGAAUAUACCAGUUGGACUUUCUCUCCCUUUUUUUUUUUUUUUUCCUUUUAUUGGACUUUAUUCAUGUGCGCAGCCUU